rnacentral:rRNA from 1 species
AUGUAUGAGCUGUAUGGUGAUUGUUUGAGUUUCGACACGACAUACAAGACAAAUCGUUACAAUAUGUCAUUUGCACCGUUUGUUGGCAUCACUGGACACGGGCUCAACUGCUUGUUUGCUUGUGCUAUAGUGCACAACGAGACGGUGGACACAUUUGAAUGGCUUUUCGACACAUUUCUGGACUGCAUGCGUCGAAAAGCUCCUCUCACGGUCAUUACUGACCAAGAUGUGGCGAUGAAGACCGCGGUUCCUGCUGUUUUCAAGGGUGUUGUUCAUAGGUGUUAUCUCUUCCACAUAAUGAAAAAGGUUCGGGAAAGAUGUGUGAGAACCUUUUCAACACAACCAGACUUGUAUGUUGACUUCAGCGACAUCAUGCAUAACUGCCCGACAGAGGCAGAGUUUGAGACGUUGUGGCCAUCGUUGACGCAGAAAUAUGGAGUAGAUAAUUUCAAGUACUUCAGGUACAUGUGGAAGUACAGGAAGUUGUUUUUCCCAGUCUAUUUCAAGAAAAGCGUCUUCCCAUUCAUCCACUCGACUGCCCGGAGUGAAGGGACAAAUGCCAUAUUCAAGGACAAUGUAGGCUCAACAUUCAAUGUGAUUACCUUUUUGCGUGAGUAUGAGCGGAUAUUGAAAGCGAUGCAGGAGAAUGAGAAGGAACAAGACUCUAUUACCAGAACAACAAAGCCAUCCUACUGGCUGGGCACUGAACUAGAAUUGCAGGCUGCAGAGAAGUACAAUAGAGCGAUAUUCUACAGAUUUCAGAAAGUUAUAAAGUUUGCAAGCUAG